GCCACCACGGUUCCAUCAUUUGCUCCAAAUGAAACAUUUCCUUUUCAUAGGAAUGCUACAUCUGGAAAAUUAUUUUGACUAAAUUGCAUGCAAGGUCAAAAAAUAGCAAAUGGAUUUACUUUUUGUUGCGAGAUUAUGCAAUUAAUAAAACCACCAUCGGCCGUCUCUUCUUGUUGAACCGGUGACGGUGGAGUAAAUUGAAAAUUUGUGCAGAAUCCGGCCGGUGCCAACUACGUUCGGGUUUUGUGGCAGAUUACUUUGCGGCGGAAUAGUUUUAUUAAUUGGAAAUUGAGUGACUGGAUUUAUGAAUGCAACUCCCCUCACACCAUGAGUCUGCCAAGGUUUCAGAUGGGUGAUACAUGACCGGCGGUUAUUCUGGUUGUGUGAGGGUUAUAUAGGAGUAGAAACGGUUCUGACGGCGGUGAAACGAUGGUGGGGGAGACACGUCGGUGGAUGAAUGUUUGUGUCGGUUCCAUAACGGCAAGGAAACCGGGACGUCAAGCGGACAAGCCGGUGGUGAUACACGUUUGAAGGGAGCGCUUUAAAGGUGAUGCUCGUUUGUUGUGGAUGUUGAUCAAGCAAGGGAAUCAAGAACCGAACACAAUUUUUGAAU
rnacentral:lncRNA from 1 species